rnacentral:rRNA from 1 species
AUAGCUCGGGUAGUAAAAGUUAUGGGCUUCAAACCUAAAGAAAUUGGCGGCAUCUUAGCUAAUUAGAGGAACCUGUCCCUUAAUACGAUAAACCACGAAAUGAUCGAACUUACUAUUGUACAUGAUCAGUUUGUAUACCGUCAUCUUCAGGUGGGUUUCAUAGAACUUAACCUAUAGGCUCCGAGAGAGGGGAGGAAAGUUAGAUCAAGGUGCAGCUUAUUAGUAAGAGGUGAGAUGUGUUACAAUGUAUAAUGUGGUGCGGAGGUAAGUUUUUAAAGGGCUUAUUGAAGUAGGAUUUAACAGUAAUAAUGAAAUAUAGUAAGGCAUUAUGAUUUUAGCUCUGGGGUGUGUACAUAUCGCCC